rnacentral:lncRNA from 1 species
CCGCGGGCCCGCCAGGUCUCGGCGCUGCGUCUGCGGCGCCGCUGGGGGGAGCGCUUCCCUCAGCCGAUGCGUAGAGCGCGUCUUCGGCCCCAGGACAGUGAGGUGCUGGAACAGGCUGCCCAGAGCAGCUGUGGGUGCCCCGUGCCUGGAGUGAUCUCUGAGGUCCCCUCCAACCUAAUCAGUUCUGUGAUGCUGUGAUCCCAGAUCUUGGUGCCCAGAGCGCCGUCCUUGGAGGUGCCCAAGCCAUGACAGAUGAUGAGCUGAUGAAUCUCAACAACCA